rnacentral:rRNA from 1 species
UACGUAGGGGGCUAGCGUUGUCCGGAUUUAUUGGGCGUAAAGAGCGUGUAGGCGGCCAGGUAGGUCUGCUGUGAAAACUCGAGGCUCAACCUCGAGACGUCGGCGGAAACCAUCUGGCUAGAGUCCGGAAGAGGAGAGUGGAAUUCCUGGUGUAGCGGUGAAAUGCACAGAUAUCAGGAAGAACACCCGUGGCGAAGGCGACUUACUGGACACAUAUUGACGCUGAGGUGCGAAAGCGUGGGGAGCAAACAGG